UAAUCAAAGCUGUGAAACAAACACGAUUCUUUUACUUAAAAUGUAUGGGAUUGGUGCGCAUACAAUUAAGGCUACCGGUAAGUGAACCGGAACAGGAAAUGACAUCCUCGUUUUCCAAUGGACGCCAUCUUCCCAGCCCAGGUGUAAUGGUGAGUAAUCCGAGUCAUCCUUUGUAUUCUUACAUCAAUCUGUGUAUUAUUCGUGCAGUUUUUAUCGUAUUACAUUAAUAUCAAUUCACUGAUGAUCAAAUCUGCGGAAUUCGUGAUGACUGUAAGCAGUUUUAUCUUGAGGCCUACUAAUUUACCUCAUGUGCUGGCACUCGCUAGCUAACGUUAGCUAGCAAUUCACUAAACUUCGUGCUGUAUGCGGAGCAUGGAUGUAUUAUUCAUCCACGAUGUGGAGUAGGAAAAAUGAUCAAUGAUUGGCGAAUUGAAAUAUAUUUCAUUCAAAACUUUUCGGGUAUCUCAAAUGGCAGGGACACACCGGAUGUGGAAGCGAAUAGCCGCGAAGCGCCGCCAUUUUCCUUUCGGGGCACAUAUUAACCGAUUAUGUCGUUCACCCCAGAAGCAAUCCGGUCUGGUCUAGACCCUCUAAACCCCCGCCGCUGCCGCCUCCCUCGCUCCCCCCCUUCACACAAAAUUGUUUAAGAUAUCAAAGCUAAAAAAAUUCAAAUUCAAAAGGAUAAAUUCAUUGAUAACAGAAAAUACAAAUGGCCUAAAAUUUCUGAUCUUGUAGAAGGUUGGGUGUGUGGGUUUUUCAGUAGUGCUGUAGAUUAUACAUGCACUUUGAAAACGGAUGUUUUUGUAGCCAUGUGGAACUUGUUUUUUGGUUGUUAAUAACAUGCUGUAACUGACUUAUUGUUCUUUGUAUUCAUUCACAGGUGCUGUGUUAUGUGGCCAUGCAGAUUGUGUGACAGUAUAUUAUCUUCAAGGGGACCUUAUACCAGAGGGUGAGCUGGCUUGGCAAGUGAUACUAGACCUGAAGGAAAUCGUAGAGUUGGUUGUGGCACCUGUUCACACGCACGAGACCAUUGCGUACCUUGAUGUCAAAGUGUCUGAGCACAGACACAGGUUGCUUGAGCUUAUCCCAGGUGUGACGCUGAAACCUAAACACCAUUAUAUCGAGCAUUACUCACACUUGAUCAGGUGCUUUGGGCCUCUUGUGGGUGUAUGGACUAUAAGGUUUGAGGCCAAACACCGUUUUUUUUAAACAAGUAGCUCGACACACAAAUAAUUUCAGGAAUAUUGCACUUACUCUGGCAAGCAAACACCAGCAAUUGAUCAGUUAUCACUUGCAUUCAUCCAGUCUCAGUGCAUCAAAUGUGGAAGUUACAAAUGUCUCCAUAGUCCCAGUUGAUGUUUUGAAUGAGGAGGUUGUAUUGGCUCUCAGACUGAAGUAUCCAGACAUCAGUCAAGUGAAUCUCACAAAGAAUGUCACCACUAAAGGGAUCAACUACAGAAAUGGGAUGUUUUUGGCAUGUGGGUCAACGGCUGGAAUGCCUGAAUUUGCAGAGAUCAUACAAAUAUGUAUAGUGAGAGAUGAGUUGAGCUUCAUAAUUCGUUUAUACUUUGCUUGGUAUCAGCACCAUUUUGGGGCGUUCCAGUUGACAUUGUCACCAGGAAGAGAGGUUGCCCUUGUUCAGCUUGAGGAGCUGACGGAUUACUGUCCACUUGUGGCCUACACAGUCGGAUCCAGACGUAUGGUGACCCUGAAGAGACACAUCGUCAUUACAGAUUAGCAAAGCAGGAUGGCAGCACGAGUAACCUUCAGAGUCCUCUUAGGAGGUGAAGAGGAUGCAAGAAAACUCCAUUGAAUCCGGAAUACCAAGAACUGUGGAGGACUUGGCUCUUAAAAUCAAGACUUUCUUUGAAGUGACUGAGAAGUUCAGACUUCAGUACAAAGACAUGGAUAAUCAGUUCAUGAAUCUCUUGUCAACAUCAGAACUUGAAGAUAAAGGGACUUUGAAAGUGGUGUACAUGCUUUGUGAGACAACCAGGUCCGCUCCACUCACGGAAGAUGCCUGCUGCACAAUCCCAGGUACUCCUUCCAAAGCCAGCUCUUCAUCACAAGAACCAAGUGAUUCAGACUCCCACUCCAGCAAUGAUACCAUCGUCUUGUCAUCGCCUGAGACCCGGUCCUGCCCCUGGCCUAGACCCUUUGUCGUGCCCCGCUUCUCAUCCUGUGCUGAGAUUAUGCUCCAGAAAGGAAAUGAUGAGUUCAAGGCACAGGGAACUGUUCUGUGUCCUACGCCAAAAGUACGCUCAGAUAUCCUUGAAGGCCUAGCUGAGGAAAUAAUAAAGUACACAGCUUACCCAAGGGAUGAGCAAUUGG